GACAUGUAUUUUUAUUUAAACCCAACACAAAUACAAAGUGAACGGUGCAUAAGUUUUUUCGAUUUUUUUUUCAUUUAAUUUCGUUCAAGUCUGAUGGACUUUGUGAGUUGCUUGUUUGUAUGAAGCAUCAUCAUGACUUCCAGGCACUUCCAGGAUUCCACCUGAACCGUAUCAACAUUAUCUACUUAUAAAUCUUUUUUUUUCUUUCUCUGCCCUUCUCAAAAAGGAGAUGAUAAUUACAGGGUUCACAAGAUUUCUUUGUAGAAAAAAAAAAAUUAAAUUCUUACAAAAUAAUUUACAUAUAAAUAUUAAUUAAUAAAUUAUAUUUUUAUUUUUUUUUAAGGUCACUUAAUGACAACGUUUGAGUUUAUAAAAUGUUUGAUAAUAAAUUUUAAAUAUAUGCUGGUUAUCAUUAACCACAUGACAACUCGAAAGAAAAAAAAAAAAAGUUGAUAAAGAAAUACAUAAAUUUACUGAAAUAAUAUUAUUUUCUUUUUCGCAUCGAAAUGUUUUUCAUAA